GAGCUCCGACAGUACAUUUACUAAUAUUGGAACGAUACAGAGAAGAUUAGCAUAGCCACUGCGCAAGGAUGACACGCAAAUUCGUGAGAGAGAGAGAGCGAGC
rnacentral:snRNA from 1 species